rnacentral:rRNA from 1 species
UACGUAGGGGGCAAGCGUUGUCCGGAUUUAUUGGGCGUAAAGAGCGUGUAGGCGGCUAGGUAGGUCCGUUGUGAAAACUGGAGGCUCAACCUCCAGACGUCGACGGAAACCGUGUGGCUAGAGUCCGGAAGAGGAGAGUGGAAUUCCUGGUGUAGCGGUGAAAUGCGCAGAUAUCAGGAAGAACACCAAUGGCGAAGGCAGCUCUCUGGGACGGUACUGACGCUGAGACGCGAAAGCGUGGGGAGCGAACAGG